rnacentral:rRNA from 1 species
CCUACGGGAGGCUGCAGUGGGGAAUAUUGGACAAUGGGCGAAAGCCUGAUCCAGCCAUGCCGCGUGUGUGAAGAAGGCCUUCGGGUUGUAAAGCACUUUCAGUGGGGAAGAAAGCCUUGGGGCUAAUACCCUCGAGGAAGGACAUCACCCACAGAAGAAGCACCGGCUAACUCCGUGCCAGCAGCCGCGGUAAUACGGAGGGUGCGAGCGUUAAUCGGAAUUACUGGGCGUAAAGCGCGCGUAGGCGGUCUGAUAAGCCGGUUGUGAAAGCCCCGGGCUCAACCUGGGAACGGCAUCCGGAACUGUCAGGCUAGAGUGCAGGAGAGGAAGGUAGAAUUCCCGGUGUAGCGGUGAAAUGCGUAGAGAUCGGGAGGAAUACCAGUGGCGAAGGCGGCCUUCUGGAUUGACACUGACGCUGAGGUGCGAAAGCGUGGGUAGCAAACAGGAUUAGAUACCCCGGUAGUC